CUGUUGUCGCUGGAUCCGAGGGAGCAUGUGCACACCUUGUCAUCUUUAUAUCUCCACCUGUGCACCUUUUGUAGACCUUUCAGGUCUAUGUUGCUUCAUUUACCCCAAUGUAUGUUAAUAGAAUGUUGUGCCUAUAUUAAUAUAUACAACUUUCAGCAACGGAUCUCUUGGCUCUCGCAUCGAUGAAGAACGCAGCGAAAUGCGAUAAGUAAUGUGAAUUGCAGAAUUCAGUGAAUCAUCGAAUCUUUGAACGCACCUUGCGCUCCUUGGUAUUCCGAGGAGCAUGCCUGUUUGAGUGUCAUUAAUAUAUCAACCUUCUCUUUUUGAGUGGUUUGGAUGUGGGGGUUUGCUGGCCUCUUAAAAAGGUCUUGGCUCUCCUGAAAUACAUUAGCGGAACAUCCCUGUUCAUUGGUGUGAUAACUAUCURCGCUAUUGAAUGUGAAGGGCAGUUUGGCUUUCUAACAGUCCUUGGACAGCUCAUCAUUAAUGUGACCUCAAAUCAGGUAGGACUACCCGCUGAACUUAAGCAUAUCAAUAAGCGGAGGAAAAGAAACUAACAAGGAUUCCCCUAGUAACUGCGAGUGAAGCGGGAAAAGCUCAAAUUUAAAAUCUGGCGGUCUUUUGGCUGUCCGAGUUGUAAUCUAGAGAAGUGUUAUCCGCGCUGGACCGUGNACAAGUUUCCUGGAAUGGAGCAUCAUAGAGGGUGAGAAUCCCGUCUUUGACAUGGACUACCNGGGNUUUGUGAUGCGCUCUCAAAGAGUCGAGUUGUUUG
rnacentral:rRNA from 1 species